GGAGAGGUGGCCGAGUGGCUGAAGGCGCUCCCCUGCUAAGGGAGUAUAUCUCAAAAGGGUAUCGCGGGUUCGAAUCCCGCCCUCUCCGCCA
rnacentral:tRNA from 12 species